AGUGAGGGGGUGACUGGUGACCGAGUGAGGGGUUGACUGGUAACUGAGUGAGGGAGGGGGUGACUAGUGACAGAAGGAGGGAAGGAGUAGUGACAGAGGGAGGUGGUGACUAGUGACAGUCACCACCUCCCUCACUCUGUCACUGUCACCCCCUCCCUCUGUCACUAGUCACCCACUCCCUCCCUCCCUCUGUCACUGGUCACCCACUCCCUCCCUCUGUCACCAGUCAUCCCCUCACUCUGUCACUAGUAACCCCUUCCUUCCCUCACU